rnacentral:tRNA from 1 species
GCGGGAGUAGCUCAGGGGUAGAGCGUCUCCUUGCCAAGGAGAAGGCCGUGGGUUCAAGUCCCAUCUCCCGCUCCA